UAGGUGGUAGCUCAGUGGUGGAGCCCUUGCCUAGCAUGUGUGAGGUCCUGGGUUCAAUCCCCAGCACUGAA
rnacentral:tRNA from 1 species